rnacentral:rRNA from 1 species
UACGAAGGGGGCUAGCGUUGUUCGGAUUUACUGGGCGUAAAGCGCACGUAGGCGGGUCGUUAAGUCGAGGGUGAAAUCCUGGAGCUCAACCGUGUGGUCUGCAGUCGAUACGGGCAGGCUGGAGUUCGGUAGGGGAGACUGGAAUUCCUGGUGUAGCGGUGAAAUGCGCAGAUAUCAGGAGGAACACCGGUGGCGAAGGCGGCUACCUGGACGGUUACUGACGCUGAGGAGCGAAAGCGUGGGGAGCGAACAGG